rnacentral:rRNA from 1 species
UAUAAAUGUAGAUAUAAAAACUAAAUUAGUAUUAGUUAAGUUCUUUAAAAUUAAAGAUUUUGGCGGUAUUUUAGUCUUUUCAGAGGAACCUGUUCUAUAAUUGAUAAUCCACGAUUAAUUUUACUUAUUUUAUUAGUUUGUAUAUCGUUGUUUAUAAAUAUUUUAAAAGAAAAAUAAUAUUUGAGAUUUUAUAGUUAAAAAUAAGUCAAAUCAAGGUGCAGUUUAUAAAUAAGAAGAGAUGGGUUACAAUAAAUUUAUUUAAAUGGAAAUAAAAAUGAAAUUUUUUUUUGAAGGUGGAUUUGAAAGUAAUUAAUUUUAUUUAUUUUUAAUGAUUUAAGCUCUAAAAUAUGU